rnacentral:rRNA from 1 species
UCGGGGUGAGCGGCGGACGGGUGAGUAACGCGUGGGUAACCUGCCCUGUACACACGGAUAACAUACCGAAAGGUAUGCUAAUACGGGAUAACAUAUGAGAGUCGCAUGGCUUUUGUAUCAAAGCUCCGGCGGUACAGGAUGGACCCGCGUCUGAUUAGCUAGUUGGUAAGGUAACGGCUUACCAAGGCAACGAUCAGUAGCCGACCUGAGAGGGUGAUCGGCCACAUUGGAACUGAGACACGGUCCAAACUCCUACGGGAGGCAGCAGUGGGGAAUAUUGCACAAUGGGCGAAAGCCUGAUGCAGCAACGCCGCGUGAGCGAUGAAGGCCUUCGGGUCGUAAAGCUCUGUCCUCAAGGAAGAUAAUGACGGUACUUGAGGAGGAAGCCCCGGCUAACUACGUGCCAGCAGCCGCGGUAAUACGUAGGGGGCUAGCGUUAUCCGGAAUUACUGGGCGUAAAGGGUGCGUA